CUGGUGGCCGAGGAGGAAAUCAAAGAGAUCUGAGUGCUGAGAAGAGCUGGGUGCAAAGUUGCUGGUUUGAACGUGGAGGGGGCUUCCAGCAGCAGAGAGCAGUGGCUGGCAGCCAGCCAGGAAGGGGGGACCUCGGAGCCACACCUGCAGGGAACGGAAUUCUCCGACCACCUACGUGAGCUUGGAAAGGCUUCCUCCCCGAGCCUCCAGGCAGGAGCCCGUCGGCGCCACGGUUUCUGGCUGGGAGAUCUUGAGCCGUCCACCAGCGCUCUCACUUAGAGAACGGCGAAAUGAUUGAAGUACAAAUGAAGAACAAAGCACAAUGAAAAAAGAUCAAGCCUACCUACCCUUCAAAAAAAUGCAGAUGAGAAUUUGGAGCCUGAAGAGGUCAGCGGCACCAUUCCCAAAGAACACCCUUUGGUGGAACAGAGGAGCCACUUGCUAAGGGCUCUCUCUGUUCCUCAGUUUCCUUAGUGAUUUUCCCUGAUGCGGCUGCAUUCCAGGUCAGGCAAAGAUGGCCUCGUGCUGACUUCCGGUACAAGAGCUAGAUCGUUAUGGGAGUUCUGAGUCUCAGCUGGGAUCACGUACCCGUCCCUGAAUGGACUGCCAGGGGGGCAGAACAGCCUGCCCAGAGGGAUCUCAACCCAACCAUGUGGACGAGAAAAUGGGAGUAUGGAACGCCAGAGGGCUCAUCCCCCAAAGGAGGCCAAAACAGACCUCAGGUGCCUCCCGGAGCCAAAACUUGUCCUGCCUCCACGUGUAGAAUUGUAUUGUUCCAUUA